rnacentral:rRNA from 1 species
UACCAGCUCUUCGAGUGGUGUGGAUGUUUAUUGGGCCUAAAGCAUCCGUAGCCGGCUGGACAAGUCCCCUGUUAAAUCCACCGAUUUAAUCGUUGGAGUGCGGGGGAUACUGUUCGGCUAGGGGACGGGAGAGGCAGACGGUAUUUUCGGGGUAGGGGUGAAAUCCUAUAAUCCCGGGAAGACCACCAGUGGCGAAGGCUGUCUGCUAGAACGCGCCCGACGGUGAGGGAUGAAAGCUGGGGGAGCGAACCGGAUUAGAUACCCGGGUAGUCCCAGCUGUAAACGAUGCAGGCUAGGUGUUUGGGCGGCCACGUGCCGCUCUAGUGCCGCAGGGAAGCCGUUAAGCCUGCCGCCUGGGGAGUACGGCCGCAAGGCUGAAACUUAAGGAAUUGGCGGGAGCACCACCAGGCGUGAAGCCUGCGGUUU